AAAAAGUUUUUUUUAUUUGAAUGAUUUGAAAUAGUAUCAUAUGUGAGAUAGGCUUAGAUUUAUAGUUACAAACUAGUUGAUUCUUCACAGGAGAGAAUCUCUACCCAUGAUGAGUGACAUGUGAAAAAUAUAAUGAAAACUCUAAAAGUCUAUAAGGAGUAGUUGACUAAAUAUAAUCCAAUAUAACUUUUUAAUAGGUUAAAUUCAUUUUAUUUACUGCAUUUAAUUAUAUAAAACAAGAGUUUUCUUUCACUAAAAAAAUCAUGAGCUUUUUAAAAGAUCAGUCCAGACAAAAUCCACUAACCUUCUAAAAAAAACUAUAACUUUUAUACAUGUUGAAUUCAAUAACUUUAAUCAUAAUUUUUACUCAGACUCGUCUCAAUAACCUUCACCCAAGCUUUUUUCACGUUUAACUUGUAACCUUCAAAUCUUAUUACAAAGAGAAAUAAAUACUAUAACACAACACAAUUUUUAGAUGAAACUUUUCACUCUCUUAACACUAAAGAAACUAUAGUGAAAAAGAACAUUAUUCAAGAAAGAGAGAAGAAAAGGUACAAGAAGGUUUCUA
rnacentral:lncRNA from 1 species